rnacentral:rRNA from 1 species
UACGGGGGGGGCAAGCGUUGUUCGGAAUUACUGGGCGUAAAGGGCUCGUAGGCGGCCAACUAAGUCAGACGUGAAAUCCCUCGGCUUAACCGGGGAACUGCGUCUGAUACUGGAUGGCUUGAGGUUGGGAGAGGGAUGCGGAAUUCCAGGUGUAGCGGUGAAAUGCGUAGAUAUCUGGAGGAACACCGGUGGCGAAGGCGGUUCUCUGGGCCUUACCUGACGCUGAGGAGCGAAAGCGUGGGGAGCGAACAGG